GUGGAUCACUUGUUACCGGGUUAAAUCGGCGUGGUAACUUAUGCUGAACACCUAACCAGCUUGGGAGCAGGUUAUGUUGGAGAUUAGAGAUCAGCCGGUGUAAAAGCACCGCCUACUCACCAAUCAAUACUCGAUUGAUAACAGCGUCCCCGUUCUUAGAAGAUCCGGCGGAGAGAGAGAGAGAGAGAG